UGUUCUGUUUGUAUCAAAGCAGUAGUUCUUUCGACCUGCUCCAGAGUUUCUAGCUCUGUGGUGGAAGGUUUAAAGAAUUAUCCAGCGCUGUCAGAAUAAAGAAUUGAUUUUAGCAGCAAUGGUUUGAAUCACGUUUUCUUGAAUUGGACGGACAAAAGAACUCAGUUUAACAUGAGGGGACCUCAUUGAAACAUA